rnacentral:rRNA from 1 species
AUGGCUUCCGAGCAGACGGUGCACAUGAACGGAGGACAAGGGGACACAAGCUAUGCCCGCAACUCCAGUCUGCAGAACGCUGAGCAGAGCAGGAUGAGGCCCCUCAUAGAAGAGGCCAUCGCCGAUCUACUCCGAGCCAGCGCCUCCUUGCCGAGAAGCAUGGUGGUCGCGGACUUGGGAUGCUCCUCCGGCCCAAACGCGCUCACUCUGGUGUCUAUCUCCGUUGACGCCAUCCGCGGUCAGUGUCUUCGUUCCCAGCAGCCACCGGUGGAAGUCUGCGUCUUCCUCAACGAUCUUCCAGACAACGAUUUCAACAUGGUGGUGAAGAGCUUGGUGGCGUUCCAGCAAAGCAACAGGUCGGUUGUUACAGGUGUUAUACCAGGGUCAUUCUACGGGAGGCUCUUCACCAGUGGCUCCUUGCAUCUCGUCUGCUCGGCCAACAGCCUCCACUGGCUCUCCGAGGCUCCUGAAGAACUGAGGAGGAACAAGAUCCCGGCAUACGACAUCGAUGAGCAUGUGAGGCGAGGAAGACGGCGUGUGGUCAUUGGAGCCUAUGCAAGGCAGUUCAGGAAAGAUUUCAAGCUUUUUCUUGAGCUGAGAGCCAAAGAAUUGGUCGCCGGGGGUCGAUUGGUUGUUUCCCUUGCUGGGAGGCGCUCUGAAGAACCUGCUGCCGAAUUCACUCAUGCCUGGGAAUCAGUUGCCCUUAUAUUAAGUGACAUGGUCUCAAAGGGUGUGAUUAACAAAGCAAAGUUUGAUACUUUCUACAUACCGAUAUACGGACCUUCCGAUGAAGAGCUGAGGGGGAUCAUUCAAGCAGAGGGUUCUUUCUCAAUAAGGGAGAUGCAAGUGAAUGAGCCUACAAGCAAUGUGGAAAGCACGCUGAUCUCCUCGAGCAAGAUGGCCAGUCUGCUGAGAGCUGGAUUUGAGCCGAUAAUAGUCCAACAUUUUGGGUCGUCUGGGGAGAUCAUGGAUGAAUUUGUGAGGACUGCCGAACGACGCUGGAACCAGCAGGGCAGCUUGGAAGCGGAGCUGGCUAGAAACCGGCGAGUUAUUUUGGUUGUGUCGCUUAAAAAGAAGGUAUAA